rnacentral:lncRNA from 1 species
ACCUCUUCCAGCAAGCCCAAUCAAUUAUUGAGGUGGAAGAGCAGAAUGAGAACAAGCUAGUGGAACUUGAGAACACUAGCUUCAAAAAACCAAAGUUCGAGAAAAAAAGCUACGGCGGGAAGAAUAGUUUCCGCAACUCUUCGAACAAAUACACUGACAAUGCGGUUAGUUCCUUCAAAAAGGAAUGGAAGCCCAAACAUGAU